GUGGGGAAUAUUGCACAAUGGGCGCAAGCCUGAUGCAGCCAUGCCGCGUGUGUGAAGAAGGCCUUCGGGUUGUAAAGCACUUUCAGUAAGGAGGAAAGGUUAGUCACUAAUAUUGGCUAGCUGUGACGUUACUUACAGAAGAAGCACCGGCUAACUCCGUGCCAGCAGCCGCGGUAAUACGGAGGGUGCGAGCGUUAAUCGGAAUUACUGGGCGUAAAGCGUACGCAGGCGGUUUGUUAAGCGAGAUGUGAAAGCCCCGGGCUCAACCUGGGAACUGCAUUUCGAACUGGCAAACUAGAGUGUGAUAGAGGGUGGUAGAAUUUCAGGUGUAGCGGUGAAAUGCGUAGAGAUCUGAAGGAAUACCGAUGGCGAAGGCAGCCACCUGGGUCAACACUGACGCUCAUGUACGAAAGCGUGGGGAGCAA
rnacentral:rRNA from 1 species